rnacentral:sRNA from 1 species
GUCUAGCCCUGAUUGAAACGACAUCCUUUUUACUGUCAGUUCGAGUGAAUUUGUGAAGAAUGAGUAAAUUUGUAUCGAGAACAGUAGUAAAAAGAUACAGUGUAAAGCAGGAAAUAGC